rnacentral:tRNA from 1 species
GGCCCCAUCGUCUAGCGGUUAGGACACCGGCCUCUCACGCCGGUAACAGGGGUUCGAUUCCCCUUGGGGUCA